UGGAGAGUGGCGCACGGGUGAGUAACGCGUGGGGACCUACCUCUUAGUGGGGGAUAACGGUUGGAAACGACCGCUAAUACCGCAUACGCCCUUCGGGGGAAAGAUUUAUCGCUAAGAGAUGGACCCGCGUUGGAUUAGAUAGUUGGUGAGGUAACGGCUCACCAAGUCAGCGAUCCAUAGCUGGUUUGAGAGGAUGAUCAGCCACACUGGGACUGAGACACGGCCCAGACUCCUACGGGAGGCAGCAGUGGGGAAUAUUGGACAAUGGGGGCAACCCUGAUCCAGCCAUGCCGCGUGAGUGAAGAAGGCCUUCGGGUUGUAAAGCUCUUUCAGAUGCGAAGAUGAUGACGGUAACAUCAGAAGAAGCCCCGGCUAAUUUCGUGCCAGCAGCCGCGGUAAUACGAAAGGGGCUAGCGUUGUUCGGAUUUACUGGGCGUAAAGGGCACGCAGGCGGUCUUGCCAGUCAGGGGUGAAAGCCCGGGGCUCAACCCCGGAACUGCCUCUGAUACUGCAAGACUA
rnacentral:rRNA from 1 species